AGUCUAUUACCUCAACAAAACAGCCCCAGCGUCAACCCCUAAAACUCCCGAAGAGGAACCUGGGAGAUUCUUCCGGCAGCCUGUGCGUAUCUAGCUUUAACCUUCAUGCUUCAGAUUCAGCCUAUUUCUUCUGUUUUAGAGGGCAGAAACAAUGCCUCUUUUCACUGGAGCCGGCUCAGCUUCUCAUCUCGUCUCUAAAACAGCUCGCGUUUGUUUUCAUCAACUUUCCUUUCCAACUUUCUCAAACGCAGAAGUGCUUUUGAUUCUCUUCGUCCUGUCCUUUCAACUAAAGCCCGGGGAAGGAGCGUCAGAAGUCUCAUCCAAGAUUUCACAGCAAGCAAACGCUGACACUGCCUCUCGCUUCGCGCCUCCCUGCUGCGCGCCUUUGGCUAAGCGGAGCCACCUCUCUGUGCCUCUUGUGUACCAAGAAGGGACUAGCCCUAUUUUGGCAGCUCCUCCCACUGUGGAGAAACCCACCCCACGCUGCCCCCCCCCAACCCCUCUGGACAAAAAAUAAAAGGGGAGGGAAAAACUUGCGUUAGGCAUCCGGUGACAGCGAGACUCUGAGGCUGCCUGGUGGCGGAGUUGUUGCUGGGUGACCCAGCCUCACACAAAUCCUAGAACAGCAGCGCCCCACCUCCCCGGUCACCAAGCAACAGGGACACGCCUGCUACCCAAACACCGCCGGCAACCCCGCCAAUGACCACCCCCAGUCCCCCAGGACCCUUGCCUGGUAGGGGAUGUACUGGGGCUGGACAGAGAAGCCCACGCCCCCACUGCGCGGAGGUGGAGACUGAGGCUGGAUAGGCUGGACUAGGGCGUCCGGGUGUUGCGGCGUCCCAGGGUGCGGCUGGUGAUCGCGCGCUCCAGACUCCCAGAGCCACUAUCCGUCCCCGCGCGAGUGUGGCGCUCCCACGUGGAGAUAUCUGAAGCCUCGUGGGUCCUGCAGGGCCCAGUCCCUCAGCGCUGUCCGCUCUCGUCCCCACCCUCCCGAAGGGGAAACUGAGUCCCCAAAGGUUGAGUUUCACGCCCCCCUGGAGCUCCUGUCCAAGUCUCACCUGCAGCUGGCACCGCGCGCCCUGGUUUCCUGGAGUUGAGCGGCAGACAAAGGCCUCCAAUCCGCGCGCGAGGCGGGGUGUGUCUGCUUUGCAUAAUGCCCGCAGCCCAUCGGAGAGGACAGAGGGGCGGGCUUCUGGGGCGGAGCUUCUGUGAAAUCCACCAAUCAUUGAGAGGCUGGCAGCUCCGUCCUGUCUCCUAGACUAGGCGGUGGCAGGGAAACAGGUUCUAAGGCUAAAUGGGCCGAAAUCUCAAAUCUGAAGGGUUGCAUCUCCCUGUACGACCUUCCCUAGUUUAGGAGGGGAAACUGAGGGCCGGAAAGAAGGAUAUCUUUGUGAGGUCCAUGGAGCCACCAUGAGGAAGGAGUCACCAAGUUUGAGGACAGAGAUCCACAGCUUAAUAACUGUAGUAAUAAACUGUGCGCUCAUUAUGUGG
rnacentral:lncRNA from 1 species